AAUGACGGUACUGUCGCUUUUUGUUCCCAAUUGUUUUAUUAUAGCGGUUUCCAAUUGCGUUGCGAAUUAAAUAAAAUACGUAUGCAUGUACUUAAAGUCAUGGGCAAGUAAAAUCGCGCUACGAGUAAUCAACUAUUACUUAUUAACUUAUUUAAACUUAUUAACUACGAUCCCAUUUUAACCCAGAGGAUGAUGUUUAUCAGAUCCCCUUCACCAAUCUCCAAGAAAUAGCUUUGUAAAGGUGUUACAUCCAAACACCUAGUUACGAUCGCCAGUGAAGAUUAUGUGCAGUCCAGCGAUGGUAACAUCGUUCAUUGUCCAUGAUAUGCACGUAACGGAAUUUUUAAUUGUAAACACGCAAAUUUUAUUCGUGUUAUUCCGAAAACGUGAAUAGGCGCAAUCAGGGGAAAUAGAAUACUGUUCUUGAUAUUAUUCACAAUACACAACACUAUCAAACACAUUUUUCUAUUUUGGACUUCUUUGCCAAAUUACUUAAACGAUUCUUUGUGAAAAAAGGUUUAAGUAUAAAUAGGAUUCGAAAUUAUU